rnacentral:rRNA from 1 species
CCUACGGGAGGCAGCAGUGGGGAAUAUUGGUCAAUGGGCGUAAGCCUGACCCAGCAACGCCGCGUGAAGGAAGAAGGCUUUCGGGUUUUAAACUUCUUUUUACAGGGAAGAGCAGAUGACGGUACCUGUCGAAUAAGCCACGGCUAACUACGGGCCAGCAGCCGCGGGAAUACGGAGGUGGCAAGCGUUGUCCGGAUUUACUGGGUGUAAAGGGCGUGUAGCUGGGAUGUCAAGUCAGAGGUGAAAUCCGGGGGCUCAACCCUAGAACUGCCGUUGAAACUGGUGGUCUUGAGUAUCGGAGAGGUAGGCGGAAUGCCUGGUGUAGCGGUGAAAUGCAUAGAUAUCACGAAGAACACCAGUGGCGAAGGCAGCUUGCUGGGCGAUAACUGACGCUGAGGCGCGAAAGCGUGGGGAGCAAACAGGAUUAGAUACCCCAGUAGUC